UGGCACUGGGCUGAUUUCUAUGGGAGCCGGGCAUCUGGACUCAGGCCCUGGUCUUUGCACCGCAUGCUGCGGUGGCUUUCAGGGAAGCAGCUGCCUUUGGUCCACGCUUCUGCAAGCAACCGCUCACUCACAUUCCUAAUAGCGUUACAGGGCAACAUCCCACGCCUUGGCUCCUACCCCAGGAACUACCCCAGGAAGUAACGGAGAGCGCGCGAGCUAGCUGGCUUGCAGCUACUGGACACAGCACCUCAGCUGAUGGGAGAGCAGCAAUCAGACACUUACGGCCUGGACAUCUGGUCAUUGUCUUAAGCUGUCCAUCUUGAUGUCCUUGUCCUAAUGUAUUUGACGAACAGUCGUGGAGGCUGCAAACCGUGCUACUUGGUUACAUUUCUCAGGUCACCUAACUUCUAGAAAAGUCGCCCCUCCCCCCCCACCGCCCCUGAUCUGUUUCACAAGUGAAGAGACAUCAUGACCAAGGAAGCUGUAAAAGAAAGCAUUUCAUUGGGGGCUUGCUUACAGUUUCAGAAGAGAUGGGGAUUUGAACCUAGGACUUUGCACGUGCUGGGCAAGCACUGAGCCAUAUCCGCAGGCCUCACUAUGCUCCCCCCUGAACUGUCCCACUUUCUGCGAUGUCUUCACAGCCCUAGGACCCCCUCUCACUUGCAUUAAGUGAGUAUCAUGGAGGGCAAUAAAAUUUUUAGGUGAGAAGUUUCUGGCAGCUGUUGUUCAGUACUGCAGUGAAGAAUCCACGCUGAAAGGCUGCUAGAGAAAAGACUGGAAGUCUGAGUCCACAGCCACCAGUGUGUGGCUUCUCUCAGCUCCUCCUUGUAGCAGAGAUAGGAUGGAGAAAGUGAGGGACAGAAAAGGCUGUUGGGCCAAACACCCUCAACAGACUGGCUUCCUUUCCCACUAGCUGACCUUGCAUUUUAUUGAGACACAAGAUGGCUGGAGUCUUGACACUUAAAAACGUAAGGAUUUAUGCAUUGAGGUCUUAAUUAGACGGGAAUGUCUACAUUAUUUACCAGUUCACGCCUCACUCCUCCUCAGGGGCAGGGCUUUAGCCCCAGGGUUCUAUAAUCUUGCACGGAAUAUUUCCACCAUUACGAAGCUCCUUCAAAAAUAAAUAAAUAUCAGCAGCCCCACAGAUGUUUCCUUAUUUGCUGAAGGUAAAAGAAGAUAAACAUGCUUACUGUGAUUCACAAUAUUUGUGUAAAAGGCACCACACUAGAGCUGUCCUGAG